UACGUAGGGUGCAAGCGUUAAUCGGAAUUACUGGGCGUAAAGCGUGCGCAGGCGGUUUUGUAAGUCUGAUGUGAAAUCCCCGGGCUCAACCUGGGAAUUGCAUUGGAGACUGCAAGGCUAGAAUCUGGCAGAGGGGGGUAGAAUUCCACGUGUAGCAGUGAAAUGCGUAGAGAUGUGGAGGAACACCAAUGGCGAAGGCAGCCUUCUGGGCCAACACUGACGCUCAUGCACGAAAGCGUGGGGAGCAAACAGG
rnacentral:rRNA from 1 species